GGCUUGGGAGAAGAGCUUGAGGAAGUCAUUGUCGAGAAAACGAAACAGACAGUGGCUUCAAUUGCUUCUGGAUCUAAACACACCCA
rfam:Human rhinovirus 35 VP1 capsid protein gene, partial cds.